ACGAACGCUGGCGGCGUGCCUCAUCCCUGCAAGUCGAGCGAAGUUUUUCUGGUGCUUGCACCGGAAAAACUUAGCGGCGAACGGGUGAGUAACACGUAAAGAACCUGCCUCAUAGACUGGGACAACUAUUGGAAACGAUAGCUAAUACCGGAUAAUAGCAUUAACUGCAUGGUUGAUGUUUAAAAGUUGGUUUUGCUAACACUAUGAGAUGGCUUUGCGGUGCAUUAGCUAGUUGGUGGGGUAAAGGCCUACCAAGGCGACGAUGCAUAGCCGACCUGAGAGGGUGAUCGGCCACACUGGGACUGAGACACGGCCCAGACUCCUACGGGAGGCAGCAGUAGGGAAUCUUCCGCAAUGGGCGAAAGCCUGACGGAGCAACGCCGCGUGAGUGAAGAAGGAUUUCGGUUCGUAAAGCUCUGUUGUUAGGGAAGAAUGAUUGUGUAGUAACUAUACACAGUAGAGACGGUACCUAACCAGAAAGCCACGGCUAACUACGUG
rnacentral:rRNA from 1 species